rnacentral:lncRNA from 1 species
AGAUACCAUGUUCUAGGACUUGUGUGAUUAUCAUAUUCUCAAGGAGCUUAAUGACUCUUGUAUGCUUUAUUCUAAGUAGAUACCAUGCCUAGGUUGCAUAUUAGAGAUCACGUGUUGUGUAGAUACCAUGCAUAAUCACAUGCCUUAGGAGAAUCAUGCAUCCUGCACCUAGAAACCAUAGGCUUGUAUGCGAUAAUCUAUUAUUGAUGAAGCUUGAGUCAAUUUCUAUGCAUUCAUAACUUGGAUAGGAAAACUAGUGGUGGAUUCC